CCUACGGGUGGCAGCAGUGGGGAAUAUUGCACAAUGGGGGAAACCCUGAUGCAGCAACGCCGCGUGGGUGAAGGAGCGUUUCGGCGCGUAAAGCCCUGUCAGCGGGGAAGAAGAAAGACGGUACCCGACCAAGCAGCCCCGGCUAAAUACGGGCCAGCAGCCGCGGUAAUACGUAGGGGCCGAGCGUUAACCGGUAUUACUGGGUGUAACGGGAGCGUAGACGGCGAGGUAAGCCUGCAGUGGAAGACCGGGGCCCAACCGCGGAACUGCUUUGGGAACGGUCUGGCUUGAGUAUGGGAGGGGUAAGCGGAAUUCGUGGGGUAGCGGUGAAAUGCGUAGAUAUCAGGAGGAACACCGGUGGCGAAGGCGGCGUACUGGACCAUAACUGACGUUGAGGCUCGAAAGCGUGGGGAGCGAACAGGAUUAGAUACCCUUGUAGUC
rnacentral:rRNA from 1 species